GACGUAGGGUGCGAGCGUUGUCCGGAUUUAUUGGGCGUAAAGAGCGUGUAGGCGGCCAGGUAGGUCUGCUGUGAAAACUCGAGGCUCAACCUCGAGACGUCGGCGGAAACCAUCUGGCUAGAGUCCGGAAGAGGAGAGUGGAAUUCCUGGUGUAGCGGUGAAAUGCGCAGAUAUCAGGAAGAACACCCGUGGCGAAGGCGGCUCUCUGGGACGGUACUGACGCUGAGACGCGAAAGCGUGGGGAGCGAACAGG
rnacentral:rRNA from 1 species